CCAAUAGCGUAUAUUAAAGUUGUUGCAGUUAAAAAGCUCGUAGUUGAAUUUCGGGAUCAGCUGAUCGGUCGUGCCUCGGUACGUACUGGUCAAAUUGAUUCCUACCUUCUGACGAACCACGAUGUCAUUAAUUUGAUGUCGUGGGAAAUCAGGACUGUUACUUUGAAAAAAUUAGAGUGUUUAAAGCAGGCUCGCGCUUGAAUACAUUAGCAUGGAAUAA
rnacentral:rRNA from 1 species